UAAAAGGGCCUUUGCAUCGUUGGCACAUGGGUUCGUAUGGACCUGUGCGGAAUCGCCAUCAAGAGAUUUCGGAGGCAUAAUAUUUGGGAAUUUGUGGCAGCUAGCGUCUCAUUACGCCGGCGCCCAA